rnacentral:rRNA from 1 species
CCUACGGGCGGCAGCAGUGGGGAAUAUUGCACAAUGGGGGAAACCCUGAUGCAGCGACGCCGCGUGAGUGAAGAAGUAUCUCGGUACGUAAAGCUCUAUCAGCAGGGAAGAAAAUGACGGUACCUGACUAAGAAGCACCGGCUAACUACGUGCCAGCAGCCGCGGUAAUACGUAGGGGGCAAGCGUUAUCCGGAUUUAUUGGGUGUAAAGGGUGCGCAGGCGGGGUUGCAAGUCAGUGGUCAAAUUGCGGGGCUCAACCCCGUACUGCCGUUGAAAAUGCAUCCCUUGAGUGCGCGAGAAGUAGGCGGAAUGCGUGGUGUAGCGGUGAAAUGCAUAGAUAUCACGCAGAACUCCGAUUGCGAAGGCAGCAUACCGGCGCGCAACUGACGCUCAUGCACGAAAGCGUGGGUAUCGAACAGGAUUAGAUACCCUAGUAGUC